CUUUCCGUAGCGUAACGGGAUAACGCAGUCGCCUCCUAAGCGACCGAUUUGGGUUCGAGUCCCGACGGGAAGACCA
rnacentral:tRNA from 1 species